ACUCAAAGGAAUAGACGGGGGCCCGCACAAGCGGUGGAUUAUGUGGAUUAAUUCGAUGCAACGCGAAAAACCUUACCUGGCCUUGACAUGUAACGAACUUUCCAGAGAUGGAUUGGUGCUCGAAAGAGAACGUUAACACAGGUGCUGCAUGGCUGUCGUCAGCUCGUGUCGUGAGAUGUUGGGUUAAGUCCCGCAACGAGCGCAACCCUUGCCAUUAAUUGCCAUCAUUUAGUUGGGCACUUUAAUGGGACUGCCGGUGACAAACCGGAGGAAGGUGGGGAUGACGUCAAGUCCUCAUGGCCCUUAUGGCCAGGGCUUCACACGUAAUACAAUGGUCGGUACAGAGGGUCGCCAACCCGCAAGGGGGAGCCAAUCCCAGAAAGCCGAUCGUAGUCCGGAUUGAGGUCUGCAACUCGACCUCAUGAAGUCGGAAUCGCUAGUAAUCGCGGAUCAGCAUGUCGCGGUGAAUACGUUCCCGGGCCUUGCACACACCGCCCGU
rnacentral:rRNA from 1 species